GGGUGAUCUGCCCUGCACUUCGGGAUAAGCCUGGGAAACUGGGUCUAAUACCGGAUAUGACCUCCUGUUGCAUGACUUGNGGUGGAAAGAUUUAUCGGUGCAGGAUGGGCCCGCGGCCUAUCAGCUUGUUGGUGGGGUAAUGGCCUACCAAGGCGACGACGGGUAGCCGACCUGAGAGGGUGACCGGCCACACUGGGACUGAGACACGGCCCAGACUCCUACGGGAGGCAGCAGUGGGGAAUAUUGCACAAUGGGCGAAAGCCUGAUGCAGCGACGCCGCGUGAGGGAUGACGGCCUUCGGGUUGUAAACCUCUUUCAGCAGGGACGAAGCGCAAGUGACGGUACCUGCAGAAGAAGCACCGGCUAACUACGUGCCAGCAGCCGCGGUAAUACGUAGGGUGCAAGCGUUGUCCGGAAUUACUGGGCGUAAAGAGUUCGUAGGCGGUUUGUCGCGUCGUUUGUGAAAACCAGCAGCUCAACUGCUGGCUUGCAGGCGAUACGGGCAGACUUGAGUACUGCAGGGGAGACUGGAAUUCCUGGU
rnacentral:rRNA from 1 species